UUGACCUCGGAGCAGGU
rnacentral:rRNA from 3 species